rnacentral:rRNA from 1 species
AGAGUUUGAUCCUGGCUCAGGAUGAACGCUGGCGGCGUGCUUAACACAUGCAAGUCGAACGGGAUUUGUUAAGUUGAAACUUCGGUCGAUUCUUUUUAAAUCUAGUGGCGGACGGGUGAGUAACGCGUGGGUAACCUGCCUCACACUGGGGGAUAACAGUCAGAAAUGACUGCUAAUACCGCAUAAGCGCACAGCAUCGCAUGAUGCAGUGUGAAAAACUCCGGUGGUGUGAGAUGGACCCGCGUUGGAUUAGCUAGUUGGCAGGGCAGCGGCCUACCAAGGCGACGAUCCAUAGCCGGCCUGAGAGGGUGAACGGCCACAUUGGGACUGAGACACGGCCCAGACUCCUACGGGAGGCAGCAGUGGGGAAUAUUGCACAAUGGGGGGAACCCUGACGCAGCGACGCCGCGUGCGGGACGAAGGCCCUCGGGUCGUAAACCGCUUUCAGCAGGGAUGAGACAAGACGGUACCUGCAGAAGAAGCCCCGGCUAACUACGUGCCAGCAGCCGCGGUAAUACGUAGGGGGCGAGCGUUAUCCGGAUUCAUUGGGCGUAAAGCGCGCGUAGGCGGCCCGGCAGGCAGGGGGUCAAAUGGCGGGGCUCAACCCCGUCCCGCCCCCUGAACCGCCGGGCUCGGGUCCGGUAGGGGAGGGUGGAACACCCGGUGUAGCGGUGGAAUGCGCAGAUAUCGGGUGGAACACCGGUGGCGAAGGCGGCCCUCUGGGCCGAGACCGACGCUGAGGCGCGAAAGCUGGGGGAGCGAACAGGAUUAGAUACCCUGGUAGUCCCAGCCGUAAACGAUGGACGCUAGGUGUGGGGGGACGAUCCCUCCGUGCCGCAGCCAACGCAUUAAGUAUUCCGCCUGGGGAGUACGGUCGCAAGAUUAAAACUCAAAGGAAUUGACGGGGACCCGCACAAGUAGCGGAGCAUGUGGUUUAAUUCGAAGCAACGCGAAGAACCUUACCUACACUUGACAUCCCUUGCAUUACUCUUAAUCGAGGAAAUCCCUUCGGGGACAAGGUGACAGGUGGUGCAUGGUUGUCGUCAGCUCGUGUCGUGAGAUGUUGGGUUAAGUCCCGCAACGAGCGCAACCCCUAUUGUUAGUUGCUACGCAAGAGCACUCUAGCGAGACUGCCGUUGACAAAACGGAGGAAGGCGGGGACGACGUCAAAUCAUCAUGCCCCUUAUGUCCUGGGCUACACACGUAAUACAAUGGUGGUUAACAGAGGGAAGCAAGACUGCGAAGUGGAGCAAAUCCCUAAAAGCCAUCUCAGUUCGGAUUGCAGGCUGCAACUCGCCUGCAUGAAGCUGGAAUUGCUAGUAAUCGCGGAUCAGCAUGCCGCGGUGAAUACGUUUCCGGGCCUUGCACACACCGCCCGUCA